AUAUAAUUUUAUUUUGCGCAUGUGAAUUGCUUUUUGUGAAUAUAUUUUUUUUUUCACGCACGUGAAUUUUUUUUGUGUGUACGUGAAUUAGGUUUCAUGCAUGUGAAAUUGUCUACGCAUGUGUGAAUCGUGUUUUUUGCGUGAAUUAUAUUUGAGACUAAUCUGCUUCCAUAAAAUUCCACCGGUCUUCCGGGGGUCUUUUUAGUCCAUGUGAGAAGAGAGCUCGGAUACACAGCUGUUUCAGCAGCGAUCCAUCUCUAGCCGGCGUUAUUAUGGCAAGACUAGCAGCAUUUCUUCUUGUUCUUAAAACCUGUGCAUCUGUGAGAUCUACCAUGUUUUCUCAAGAAUGCUCUGCAGACAAGGAAAUACCCUGCGAGAGUCUGAGCACCUCUGCGGGCUACACGUACCCGCUGCCGCAGAACAUGAGAGACUUGAGUACAAAGCAUUGUGAACAUGGAUGGUAUUUUCCGUUUAACUGUAUGAUCACUUACACAGUUAUAGAUUGGAACACAAACCACAUGCACAAACAGGAUGGCACUGGGGGAUUCCCUAACUGGGGGAUUGCUGUGAUUGGGAUUGUGGCUGUAAUUGGAACCAUUUUUGCAUCUGUUUGGUAUUGUUAUCGAAAAUCUGGAAAUAGGUGGAUUUUACAAAAUUGUGUUUAGUAGGACAAAUUAAUUGUCUGGUGUUUAGGAUCUGAAACAAUAUGCCUUCUGUACCCAAGGUUGCUCCAAAAAGAUUUCCCCUGUAAUUUCUUUCCACUCAUUAAUUUUUCUUUGGCUGGCUUUUAUAAAUGUUAGCUAUUGUAUUAAUGAGAUGAACUUAACACAUAUUGAGAACUAUGUAAAAUAUGUAAUUUCUGUCAUCAGUUGUAAAAUUUUUACUUGAAUUAUUUUUUCUAAAUCAUUAUUUUAACAUUGUAUUAUAUUUUUGUUUAUCUUUUGCCUUUGCUAUCUAGUUGUCUUGUUUCUCUUUUAAUAAAAUCUGAUUGUGAAGUUACGUUUUACA
ensembl:lncRNA